GGUGUUCUCUCAGCACUCAGCACAGAUUGCUAGUGCUUUUAUGUGCUGAGCCUUUCCCUUCAACCUGGACCGAAAGAGGAUGGCAAUCUCGCUGAAGCUGUUUCUUUUUCUUCACAACAUAUAGGAAAGUGUUGCCCCUUUUUGGAGCAACAGCAUCUUCAGCAGGAGUAGAUACCACCUCAAGAAACCACCUUGUAUUUUAAUCCACAAGAAGCAACUCCUCAUUCAUUCAAGAGUUAUCAUGAGGUUGCAGCAAUUCAAUUAUAUCUUCAUGGUCCACUUCUACUUCUAGUUUUCUUGCUGUUUUCACCACAAAGGACAAGCUCCACUGACACUACUUGAAUCAGUAUUGAACGAAUGUCAGGUCCUUGGGAAACUCUCCAACCCUAUCUCCUGUCCUGUCCGGGUGUGCUCCAGGUGCACCAUUUGGCUAAGUCAAUUUGAACUAUUUGGGAGACCUUUGUACCUACGAUUCCUUCUGCUUGGAAGAUGCUUUCUGUUUUGUCAGCUCUUACUUCCGUGUUGUGGAAAACUGGUCUGACCUCCUAGUUGUGAAUCAGGUAUUGCUCCUCAGCACCGCAAACACUUUGGCCUCAGGUGUUACUCCACUGCAUCAGGGGGCCAUAAAGAGAAUUGACGAGGACAACUGGCCUCCCAAUAUGUGGAUUCAGUUUCCGUGUCAAUUUACCAACUCCCACUGGUAGUCUGAAGAGAUAUGGCUACUGGAGAACAGAAAAUCACCAGUAUUAAUAAAAGCAAUUUUAAGUGUUUACCUUUUAGUAUUUGAAUAGCUUUGUUAAAGAGAUGUACUCAAGAAUACUAUGAAGAGACUCUUAUUGUACUCCUUACCGGAAGAUAAUUGUGAUGCCAGAAAUUCAAAUUUAUAUUCAACAAUAUGGUUUUUCAACCAUCAAUAUUAUAAACAUCUAGGCAGUGUUUAUUGUUUGCGCAUUUGCCGUCCUCUAAAAUGAGAUUAUUCUAAGCAUACAUUAUCCUUCAUCAUUCAAGAUUAUAAGCAUUUAUAAUAAUCAUAAUAUUCACCGACAUUUCCCUGCUCUCAAAUCACUAGAGCUAAUAGGCAAAGUAGAUACAGCUACAAACAGCGGGAGAAAAUAUUUCUGGCUGACCUACAAAUAGCCGUGCAAUAAUGUAGAGAGGAAAGUAUAGUCUCACUUAUAGUGUCUGAAAUUGAGUUUCCCUCUUUAAAGGACAAAGUAAUUUUCAAAAAUAUUUGAGUAUUAUUCUGUGUAAAAAAUCUCUAUUUUAACUGGCUUAUUGAAUUGUAUUUCUUUAUUGUGUUUGUAUUCACUUUUCCAUUUGUGGGUGGAAUUUAUUAUAAUCACCAGUUUUAUACUGAAUGAAACAAAAAUCUCGUAGAUUUAUUUUAAUAAAACUUUAAAAUCCUUGUCAUUGAUAAUAAAAUAAAAUGUAUAUGCUUUCUCUAAUAAGGCCAUACUUUAUUGUUUAAAACCUAUUUUUCCUCUUUCUCAAGCACAUGGAUUGUUAAUUUAAAUUCUAAAAUAAAACCAAUUAAUCCAUAAACAUGGACUGUGGGUAAUGUUGAUAUUGCAUGUAAAUUUCUCAGUGUGUGUUUCAUGGACUCAACAGCAUCAGCAUUAGCUGGGGACUUACAAGGUGGCAUGUGCCUGUAGUCCCAGCUACUCAGGAGGCUGAGGCAGGAGAAUCACUUGAACCUAGGAGGUGGAGGUUGGAGUGACAGAGAUCGUGCCACUGCACUCCAGCUUGGGCGACAGAGCGAGACUCUGUCUUAAAAAAAUAAAUAAAAUAAAAUUUGCAAAUUUAUGGGAACGACCCCACCCCAGGCCUAUUGAAACAAAAAGUCUAUAGACAUGGUUUAGCAAUCUGUCUUUCAACAAGCCCUUUUGGGCAACUCUAAUGCAUGCUAAAGUUUGAGAACCACUGGUCUGUGGCUUUCCAGGAUACCCAGGUGCUGUACUGUCUUAUUCCCUACAGGGAACACCUUUGUUCAAGUGUGGAAGUAUGCACGCAGUGUGUAAGGAGGUGGGUUGAAUCUUCCUACAAAUGUUUUAAAUAAGUCACCUGCCUCACAUAUGUGGACUAGAUUAUUUAGAUAUUUGGAUCCAUACAGACCCUUAACCCUACUUCCGAUUUACAGAUAAGAAAUCCCUACUCUAUUUUAUUAUGUGUUGUGUUUGGCCCAUUGGUAAUUAUUUUUCUCUCCUUAGACUCAAUUUUAACUAUUUAUUGCAAUCUAAAAAUGGGGGCCUUAUCUUAAUAGUUAUUUUAAUUUUGCAAGAUAUACUAUAGGACAGGAAGUAUGCCUGAUUCUUUUACAUAAAUUCGAUAUCAGUGAUGCCUCAAAACAGUUCUUCACAUUAACUAUCAUUAUUUUUGUAGUUUUAAUGCAUUAAAACUUACUCAGUAUAAAAGCCACCUACUUAAAAUGUACAACUCAAAAAUUUUCAGUAAAUUAAUAAAGUUGUGAAGCCAUGACCACAGUGCAAUUUUAACACAUUUCCAUUGUGCCAAAAAGUUCCCUCAUGCUCAAUUCCAACCAGUUCCCACUGCCACCCCCAGUAUCAGACACGACAAUCUGCUGUCUCUACAUUUCAGGACAUUUAGUGUAAAUACAUUUAUACAAUAUAUGGUCUUUGUAUCUGGCUUCUUUCACUUAUUAUGUUUUUGAAGUUUAUCCAUGUAGCUUGUAUCAAGCUUUCGUUCCUUCUUUUUUGUUGAAUAACAUUUUAUUUAUCCAUUAAU